rnacentral:rRNA from 1 species
ACGUGAUGUGGACUGAAAAUAAGUAGGGAAGCACGUGAGCUGACUGUCAAGAAAAGCCGCUAUUGUUUGCAGGAUACCCGUACCGUAAACCGACACAGGUGGAUGAGGAGAGAAUCCUAAGGCCGACGGGAGAAGCAUUGUUAAGGAACUCGGCAAAAUGACUCCGUAACUUCGGGAGAAGGAGUGCCAGUAAGAUGGCCGCAGAGAAUUGGCCCAAGCAACUGUUUAGCAAAAACACAGGUCUAUGCAAAACCGAAAGGUGAGGUAUAUGGGCUGACGCCUGCCCGGUGCUGGAAGGUUAAGGGGAGAGGUUAGCGCAAGCGAAGCUUUGAACUUAAGCCCCAGUAAACGGCGGCCGUAACGAUAACGGUCCUAAGGUAGCGAAAUUCCUUGUCGGGUAAGUUCCGACCCGCACGAAAGGCGUAAUGAUUUGGGCACUGUCUCAACAAUGCACCCGGUGAAAUUGAAAUACCAGUGAAGAUGCUGGUUACCUGCGCCAGGACGGAAAGACCCCAUGGAGCUUUACUCCAGCUUGAUACUGGGAUUCGGUAUUGCAUGUACAGGAUAGGUGGGAGGCUAGGAAAUGGUAACGCCAGUUGCCAUGGAGCCAAUGUUGGGAUACCACCCUUGCAGUACUGGGUUUCUAACCAGCAGCCGUGAUCCGGCUGGGGGACAAUGUCAGGUGGGGAGUUUGACUGGGGCGGUCGCCUCCGAAAGGGUAUCGGAGGCGCUCAAAGGUUCCCUCAGAAUGGUUGGAAACCAUUCGAAGAGUGCAAAGGCAGAAGGGAGCUUGACUGCGACACCGACGGGUGGAGCAGGUACGAAAGUAGGACUUAGUGAUCCGGUGGUAUAAAGUGGGAUUGCCAUCGCUCAACGGAUAAAAGCUACCCUGGGAUAACAGGCUUAUCACUCCCAAGAGUUCACAUCGACGGAGUGGUUUGGCACCUCGAUGUCGGCUCAUCGCAUCCUGGGGCUGAAGUAGGUCCCAAGGGUUGGGCUGUUCGCCCAUUAAAGCGGUACGCGAGCUGGGUUCAGAACGUCGUGAGACAGUUCGGUCCCUAUCCGGCGUGGGCGUAAGAUAUUUGAGAGGAGCUGUCCUUAGUACGAGAGGACCGGGAUGGACUGGCCGCUGGUGUAUCUGUUGUCUUACCAAAGGCAUAGCAGAGUAGCCAAGCCGGGAAGGGAUAAACGCUGAAGGCAUCUAAGCGUGAAGCCCCCCUCAAGAUGAGAUAUCUCAUAACGUCAAGUUAGUAAGACCCCUUGAAGACGACGAGGUAGAUAGGGCAGAGGUGGAAGUGUGGUAACACAUGGAGCUGACUGUUACUAAUAGGUCGAGGGCAUAAUC